UACGUAGGGGGCUAGCGUUGUCCGGAAUCAUUGGGCGUAAAGAGCGCGUAGGCGGCCAGAUAAGUCCGGUGUGAAAGUCACAGGCUCAACCUGUGAAUGCCGCUGGAAACUGUCUGGCUAGAGUCCGGGAGGGGCGAGUGGAAUUCCUGGUGUAGCGGUGAAAUGCGCAGAUAUCGGGAGGAACACCAAUGGCGAAGGCAGCUCGCUGGGACGGUACUGACGCUGAGACGCGAAAGCGUGGGGAGCAAGCAGG
rnacentral:rRNA from 1 species